GCCUUUUUCUAGGGGAAAAGCAACCCGCGGCCUCCCACCGAAUUCUUCAUCAAUUUCCUCCUCUUUUUCCCCACGUCCGCAAAAGAGGUCUUCGCUCCCUUUCCCUCGGUUCCUUUCGAUGGCAGGGGGGUGGGGGGGCAUUUUCCACGGACGCCCCCGCCCCGGCUGCCGCCGCCCCUCCCGCCUCGGAGACUCUCUUCCUUCCUUCCCCCUUUUCCUUACGCAAUAUACAGAAAUGCGCGAGGCUGUGGUUGGUUUUCAUUUCUUCUUCGUGGUUGUGUGCAUGCGGUGGGAUUGUGAGAGUGCGUUCAUGAGAACUGUGGGCGGCGUUGGCUGCUUCUAAGUGUGGUCUUCUUGGCGACAGGCUCUGUGUCCGAGUGUGGUGUGCCUGCGCGGUUGGGGUGUGUAGAUGUGGACCCUUCGAGGCCCUUCUGCGUUUUCUUCGUUGCGUACGAUUGUGCUCCGUUGGUGUUCUCAGCAGGGAUCUGGUUCUGUGUGUGGGGGUGUGUGGCCCCUGCGACUGUGUUUGGGUGGUGUCGUCGUUAUGUCGGGCGUGUGUGAUCCCGACUGUGCUGGAUUGUGUGUCCGUGAGCCGCUGCGUUUGACUGAUUUCGUUGUGUCCUGUUGGGCAGUGUGCGGGGCUGACCAAGUCGGCUUCUGGGGCAGUGCUAGGUGGUGUUUGUUUGCUGCCCUUCUGUGGGGCUGGACCCUGUGUGGUCCUGUCCGCACUGAGUUGUAUGCCUGUGUGCCUGUGUCCUUUAGAGAGCGCAGCAGUUUGUCCCUUUUGGCUCCUUUGGCGGGAGAACAAAGCAGCGGGUUUUUUUCCGCUACAGCCGUUUUCUAAGUUGCUGGGUUUGAGGCAGGAAGAGAAAAUGGAGAGAGGCACGGACACAGAGACUUGGUCAUAAGGCAAACAUUAACCCCCAGCGAACACGCAACAUUAACCCCCCGCGAACACGCCGGGAAUGGAUGGAUUCCCCUCUUCUUUCCUCCCCUCCCCUCUUUUGGAUUAGAAGAGGAGAAAGAAAAUCUUCCGCAUUGUAUUGCAAUCCAGGGAAGAAUUAUUCCUAUAUGUCCACCAAAGCCGCGGCAAAUAGAAGGAGGCCUUCGCAGUUAAUCCAAGACUUCGAUGUGUGAUCAUAAGCCUGACGAUUUAGGCAAAACAAAUUAAACAAAAUCCACUAGGAAAAAAUAAAAGCAAGCUCAAUCCUGCUACAUCCUUGAAAGUAGUGUCGGGUUUGUUUUUACCUCCUUUCCUUUUACCUUGUUUAUUGCUGUAACAAAUCAUUAGAAUUUUCCCUUACUCUGUCUAAACCCCGAAAAAUCGAAAAUCAUUUCGUAGGGGUGGUGGAGGGGAAGGUGGGGGACUUUUCCCCUUUGUUUCUUUCUUUCCCCCUUUGUUGGUCUUUAUUUCCUUUUCUUUUUCUGUCUCUCUCUUCCUCUCUCUUUCUUCUUUCUCUUAAUCAGUAGGGAGACGAGAAAGGACCUGAACAGAUGAGAUAUCUCUCUCCAAGCCUCCUUCCCAACUCCAUUUCUGUAGGAAAGUACAGCCCCUGGAAUUGGGUUCUGGUUUCGCUUUGGGCUGGAGGUGGGUGGAUGGGGGUCAGAGAGAGAAUGAGGUGGGGGGGACUUCAAGGUUCUGUCCCACCGACCAGAGUCUGAAGACUAUUCGCCUUUCCCAACACGGACCUCUGCCCAUCCAGGCCCGGGACUAUCCCUUCGCGGUGUAGCGGCAGCCGGAGACCUGGCUGCGGAGGCAACCGCGUAGACACCUCCCUGCUUAGAAAACAAACACUGAACCAGACCGAUCCCAGUUGGAGGGUUCGAAAAUGUUCCAGACAGCCUGUCGGGAGGGGUUGUUGUUGCUGUUGGACUAAAUAGCUAUUCCUGAUUGGUCAUGUAUAGGGUUUUUUAAGGCGGGUGGGGGGAGGAGGGGGUAGAGGAAAGGCUCCAAACACCUGCAGGUUGGGGGCGGAAAGCUGUUUGCGAUUCCCUGGACUGGUUGGUUGGGGACAGGAGGUAAUUCCCAGCCAUUGACCCCCAUUUCUCUCUCUCCCUCCCUCUUGCCCUGCCUCUUUCUCUCCACCCCUAUCUUUCCUGGAAACUCGCUUUGGGCGCGGCAGAUCGCCCAGGACCACACCGCAGCGUAACUGCAGGCCUCUCAGCGAAAAAGGGGGAAAGCAAAGACCCGGGUCUGCAUCCUCUUCCUCGGCUUCCGCCCCUUUCCGGCGGAGUGGAGAUCCUAUUCAGAGGGGCCGGUCUCUCUAAAUAUGCCCCAGGAUGACCGAGCGGCCGCCGAGCGAGGCGGCUCGCAGUGACCCCCAGCUAGAGGGACGGGACGCGGCCGAGGCCAGCAUGGCCCCCCCGCACCUGGUCCUGCUGAACGGCGUCGCCAAGGAGACGAGCCGCGCGGCCCCAGCGGAGCCCCCAGUCAUCGAACUGGGCGCGCGCGGAGGCCCGGGGGGCGGCCCUGCCGGUGGGGGCGGCGCCGCGAGAGACUUAAAGGGCCGCGACGCGGCGACGGCCGAAGCGCGCCAUCGGGUGCCCACCACCGAGCUGUGCAGACCUCCCGGGCCCGCCCCGGCCCCCGCGCCCGCCUCGGUUACAGCGGAGCUGCCCGGCGACGGCCGCAUGGUGCAGCUGAGUCCUCCCGCGCUGGCUGCCCCCGCCGCCCCCGGCCGCGCGCUGCUCUACAGCCUCAGCCAGCCGCUGGCCUCUCUCGGCAGCGGGUUCUUUGGGGAGCCGGAUGCCUUCCCUAUGUUCACCACCAACAAUCGAGUGAAGAGGAGACCUUCCCCCUAUGAGAUGGAGAUUACUGAUGGUCCCCACACCAAAGUUGUGCGGCGUAUCUUCACCAACAGCCGGGAGCGAUGGCGGCAGCAGAAUGUGAACGGGGCCUUUGCCGAGCUCCGCAAGCUGAUCCCCACACAUCCCCCGGACAAGAAGCUCAGCAAGAAUGAGAUCCUCCGCCUGGCCAUGAAGUAUAUCAACUUCUUGGCCAAGCUGCUCAAUGACCAGGAGGAGGAGGGCACCCAGCGGGCCAAGACUGGCAAGGACCCUGUGGUGGGGGCUGGUGGGGGUGGAGGUGGGGGAGGGGGCGGCGCGCCCCCAGAUGACCUCCUGCAAGACGUGCUUUCCCCCAACUCCAGCUGCGGCAGCUCCCUGGAUGGGGCAGCCAGCCCGGACAGCUACACGGAGGAGCCCGCGCCCAAGCACACGGCCCGCAGCCUCCAUCCUGCCAUGCUGCCUGCCGCCGAUGGAGCCGGCCCUCGGUGAUGGGUCUGGGCCACCAGGCUCAGCCAGGAGGGCGUUCUUAGGCUGCUGGGAUGGUGGACUUCAGGGCAGGUGGGGUGAGAAUUGGGCGGCUCUGAAGCAAGGCGGUGGACUUGAACUUUCCUGGAUGUCUGAACUUUGGGAAGCCUUUACUGACCCUGGGGCUGGCUUUUCUGUUUCCUGUACCAGUAGGAGAUCAGAAAAAUGGAGCAAAGUGAAUCCAGUGUAGAGGGGACAGUUACUCCCAUUUUACAGAUGAGGAAUACUGAGGUCACAGAAGUGAUUUGCCCAAGGUCAAGUGGCUAAGAGAGAAGCCUAACUGAGAUUCCAUUCUGGACUGUUUGGAGAACCAGUACCCGUACCCUACAUCAGGUGAGCCCUUGAAUACUGCCAUGAUCACUAUAGACAGGCACUGCACAGUUCCAGGCUAUUAGGACAGGACUUCUCUGAGGGGAAAUCAGGGGAGGGCCCCAUAUACAGGGGGAGGGGUAGUUUGGCUCUGCAUUAUUUCAUGAGUUCCCUGAUUUAGGGGAGAUGCAAUGUCUCCUGACCCAGUCUCACUUAUGCAGAUGGUGGUCUGAUGAUAACAUCACCUGCCCCUGCCUGGCUCCCACACCCUUGCCAUCCCAUGACAAGAGUCCCCAAGACCCCUGCCUUUCCAAGACCGAGUAGAGCUACGGGACCAAGUUGGAAAACCCUUUCCCACCCUAUGCCUGGUGACAGCUCAGCCAGCUGAGCCGCAGGAGCCCAGAGUCCUCAGCCCUUCCCAGCUAACCCUCUGCGGCUUGGGACCUGUGGUGUUCCUGUGUCCCAGGCUCUGUGGGAUCUCGGAGGGGGCUGCGCCUUCUGCCCUCUGGCAGUUCCCACACGGGCUGGCUGAGGCUCCUACUCUCUGCACUCCGCCCCUCUCUCCAGCAAUCCCCUGGGAGCCACUGUGUUCAAUGGGCUAUCAGGCUUCCCCAUCACUCUCACGCCCCCCUCCAUUACCCCUGAAUAGGUGGGAUCCAGACCCACACAAGCACUCCCAGCCCCAAGUCCCCAGCCAAUCUUUCCCAGGAUCGCCUGGGACCUCACAGUUCUGAUGCACUACCUGCCUAGCUCUGCUCAAGACUCAAAGUCCUGGGCGGCUGGCACUCCAAGAGGCUGCCAUUCUAUUGUUUGGCAACAGCAUAUGCUAAAGCAGCAGUGUAAACUCAGCGCCAACACCCUCAGAUUGUAUGAUUCUGCUCAGCGAGCCUCAGAUGCCAAGAUUCUGCUCAGCGAGCCUAGUAGCAGGUAAAAGUUGGGAUCUCUAAGAUCUCAGUUUCCAUCACCCUAAGCACCGACAUUCAGGGAUUCUAUGUGUCUCCAGCGUCCUUUGGGUUUUUGGCCGCUGCAGCAGCUUCUGGCCACAAUACAAGGAGAGACCUACACGGGGUGGGGCAGGCAGGACAGGCGGUGGUUGCCUGGCUUGUUUUUUUGAGGGGAGGUGGGAGGCUGUUGGCCAUGGGCCCCUUUAGGGUCCACAUCUGCUGGGUUGGGGCUCAGCCAGAGCCUGGCUGGCUGGUCCAGUUGCCGGGCUGCAGAGGCGAGGAAGGGAGCCCGGCUGGCAGGCUGUGUGAUGCUAAUGAGGCAGGGAGGCGCGGCUUUUGUCCUGCACUUGUCCUUGCUGGAGGGUCCUCAGAGAGAGAGACAGGUCCCUCCUCAGACCCAAGUGGCUGUGAUUAGCCUUCAGUCACUCACUUUGAUGGCUCCCAGUGCUCUGAGGGGUGUGGACAGGGACUGGGGAGGGAAGGGAAGCAAGCCUGGUCCCGUGCCCAUCCCUGUGCUUUCCAGGGAGCGUCCAAAAAAACCGCACUGAGUCAAGACCAGAGUGACAACACUGCUCCAUCCUCUUCUCCCUGAAGGGCCCUCGAGCUCCCCAAGGGAUCCAGUGCAUCCUUUCUGACUUUCCAGCUCUGAGCCUUUGCCACACCUGAGAUGCCCUUUCUGUAGACUCCCACGCCAGGAGCAGGUUUUGGGUCAGACUCAGUCUCAGAUGCUGCAACUGCUGCUUCCCUCCACCCCGGGAACUGGGGCCUCUCCUAUUUCUGAAUGCACAGAGUCCCUGAGCUGUGUCUAGGUGCUACUCACCAUCCCCUGCAUUCGAGUUUUGGCCUCAUCGCCCUGUUUGUUCAUGAGCUGCUCAGUCCUGGGGCAACGUGUCACUGGUUGGUCGCUAAUGGUCCCAUCCUGCCCAGUGUGUGUGGGGCUCACCCACAGGAGGUGCUUAGUGAAUAUUUACUGGGUGAUCUCAUCAGACUCCAGGGUGGGCGAGCACAAAUGAAUCAUUAAAGUUUGUAAUGAUUCAUUGUACAGAUGGGGAGGGAUGUGACUUGUACAGGGCCACGCAGGGUGGUGAGUGACUUAGCACCCCCAGUGUCAGCUCCAGAUCUCUUCUAGAGCAGGGCAUCUCCAAGGUGAGUCCAGGGACACCCAAGAACUCCAAGGAGAAAACUCAACGGGACAUAAACCUAAAUGGGAAAAAUGUUACAUCUUUAUUUUCAUCACCCUGUGACUGAAACAUAGCUUUUCCUUCCAUUGUUAAUGUAGGCAGCAAAUCACAGCACUAGCAAAGAGUGUCUGCGACUUUCGUUACCAACAGAAAUUACAUCCCAGAUGAUAGAUUACCUUGAAAUAUUGUUCCCAAUCAUUAUUUUGAAAUUAUGGUUGGUAUUAGACCUGUUGCUAGAUCUUUUCAUUUAAUCCAUGAGUAAGGAGGCACACAUAUAAUUACAUCAUAAAAAUUUAAAAUAUCUUGACAAUUGUAUUUCAAUGCCUUUGAUUUUCAUUAUUCUAUGUAUUUUAUUUUAUGUGUUUAAGGCAUUAAUUUUUAAGGGGAUCAUAGACUCCACCACAGUGCCCCAGAGGUCCAUGGUACACAAGGCCAAAGCCUCUGCACAAAGGAGUGUCCUCGCUGACCCUCCAGCCCAGAGCUUGCAUCUUUCCCGGCUCCAUCUCUAGUCGGGAAGGGUUUGCAUCAUGCACUGGCAUCCUGAUUUUGCAGGAAUGUUGCAGGAGAGGUAGGCACCUGCUUGUGUGAUUGAAGGGGGCUUCAAUGCUCCAAUGUAGCCCCUUGGCAUGUCACUUUUAAAAUCAAUAUUUGUUGAGCACAUCACACAUGCCAGGUCCUGUUCUUUUUUUUUUUUUUUUUUUUUUUGAGACGGAGUCUCACUCUGUCACCCAGGCUGGAGUGCAGUGGCGUGAUCUUGGCUCACUGCAAGCCCCGCCUCCCGGGUUCACACCAUUCUGCUGCCUCAGCCUCCCGAGUAGCUGGGACUACAGGCACCCGCCACCACGCCUGGCUAAUUUUUUGUAUUCCCAGGUCCUGUUCUUAAAGCAAUGACCAGAAUAGAGCAAUGAAAAAGAAACAUUUUCUUUGGUGAAGUUUAUAUUCUGAGUGGAGAGACAGAUGAUAAAUAAGAAAAAUAAGUUAAAUAAUUAGUGGAUUGGAUGGGGAUAAAUGCCAAAGAGAAGAAUGAAGCUGGGAAAGGGAAUAGCGAGUGUGUGUGUGUGUGUGUGUGUGUGUGUUUUAGGGGGUUUUCAAUGAAGGGAGGGCCUUUUUUGGAAGUAAGCAAGAGGGUCUCGCAGAAUAGGGGUCACCGGAGUCAAGACCUGAAGGAGAUGAGGCAAUAAGCCAUGCAGAUAUUUGGGGAAAGAGUGUAAUGGAGGGGAACAGCUAGUGCAAGGGCCCUGAGGCUGCAGUGUGCCUGGCAUGGACUGGUUCAGGGCAGCAAGGAAGCAGGAAUGGCUGGAAUGAGGAGGGGAGGAGUGAGAGAUGGGUUGGAGAGGUACCACAUGGAGCCUCUAGUCCACAUAGGGACUUUGGCUUUUACUUUGGGUGGGAUGCAAUAACAUUGGAGGAUUUGUUUUAUUAUUCUUUUAUUUAUAUUUAUUUAUUUAUUUUUGAGACAGGGUCCCUCUCUGUUGCUCAGGUUGGAGUGCACUGGUGUAAUUAUAGCUCACUGCAGCCUUGAUCUCCCAGGCUCAAGCAAUCCUCCUCCCUCAGCCCACUGAGUAGCUGGAACCACAGGCAGGCGCCACCAUGCCUUUGGUUUUUAGUAGAGAUGAGGUCUCACUAUGUUGCCCAGGCUGGUCUCGAACUCCAGAGCUCAAGCAGUCCUCCAGCCUCGGCCUCUCAGAGUGCUGGGAUUAUAGGUGUGAGCCACUGCGCCUGGCCCCAUCAGAGGAUAUUGAAUAGGCAAGGGACUAAAUUUUCGAAAGAAUCUCUCUGGCUGUCAUGGUGAGAGCAGACAGAAUGGAGCAUAGCAAAAUUGGGGAGAUCAGUUAGGACACUAUUGUGAUAAGGCUAAUGAGCGAUAAGGGGCUUGGAUGUUGCAGCAAUGGAGGUGGUAAUAAGUAUUAUUAUAGAAGUCUAGAUAUAUUUAGAAAGAGCCAAGAGGAUCUACUGAUGGAUGCAGUGUGGAAAGCGUCAGAGGGAAACGUCAAAAUCAACUAUGAGAUCCUUCCUCUGAAUCGCUGGAGGGCCAGAACACCGCAUACUAAGCAGGAAGGCUGUGGGAGGAGCUGGUUUUCAGUGGGGUGAGCUCAGGAGCUCAGUUCAGGACAUCUUAUGUUUGAGACCCUGUCAGUGGAGUGGUCUGGGUUGGAAAUGUAACUUUGGGAGAGAUCUGCAUUUGGAUGGUGUAUAAUGCAGACAGGGCUGGGUCAUAGUGCUCAGUGAGCACUAUGCCAAGUGCUUUCUAGCACCUUCUCACCUCACUCCCCCAACAAACCCAAGAGGAGGGUGCUAUUAUCACCCCCAUUAUUUAGAUGGAUAAACUAAAACCCAAGGGGGCAAGGGACUCACUAAAGUCACACCACGAGGAAAAAGCAGAACCGGAUCCCAACUUAUAUGUGUCCCAUUUCAAAACUCAAGCUCUGUAACCCAUAUGUACUAUUGUAAUUUCUUCUUUUUUAUUUUAUUUUUAUUGAUACAUAAUAUUUGUACAUAUUUAUGGGGUACAUGUGAUUUUUGUUACAUGCAUAGGAUGUAUAAUGACCAAGGCAGGGUAUUUAGGACAUCCAUCACCUUGAGUAUUUGUCAUUUCUUUGUGUUGGGAGCAUUUCAAAUCCUCUUUUCUAGCUAUUUUUUUUUUUUUUGAAUCAGAGUUUGGCUCUUGUUGCCCAGGCUGGGGUGCAAUGGCACGAUCUUGGCUCACUGCAACCUCCACCCCCCAGAUUCAAGUGAUUCUCCUCCUCAGCCUCCCAAGUUGCUGGGAUUACAGGUGCCCACCACCACGUUCAGCUAAUUUUUGUAUUUUUAGUAGAGAUGGAGUUUCACCAUGUUGGCCAGGUUGGUCUCGAACUCCUGACCUCAGGUGAUCCACCAGCCCCGGCCUCCCAAGGAUGGUGUCAAUUUUUCUAAUUUGAGCAACCAGUUAUAUGGUGGUGCCAUUUACUGAGGAGCAUAGAACGACAGGGGGUACAAGGAGAGGAGCAGGCUUAGGGGAAAGAGUAAAUUCACCCUGGGUACGCUGAGCUUGAGAUGUCUGUGAAAUCAAGUGGAGAUGUUGACAACAUAGUUGGAUAUGCAGACUUGAAACUCUGCAGAAAUACCAAGCCUGUAAAUAUAGAUUUGGAAGUUAUCAACAUAGAAGUGGUAAUUUACAUCAUGGGAUUCACCCACCAAGAGGGUGUGGAAUGAGAAGUGGAACAAGAUUUCUGAGGAAUGCAGCAUCUCAAAGCUGGACAAGGCGAGAGAAACAGCUGGAGGAGACAGAAGGAGCAACCAGAGAAGGAGGAGAAGAGUGGGGAGGUGUGGAGUGCUGGAUAAUGGGGAAGACAGGGGUUCAAGGUGCUAGGAAGUGCUGGGAUUACAGGCUUGAACAACCAUGCCCGGCCGCUAUUUUGAAAUAUGCAAUACACCGUUGUUAGCUGUAGUCACCCUAUUCUGCUAUUGAACAGUAGAACUUAUUCCUUCUAUCUCACUGGAUGUUUGUACCCAUUAACCAACCUCUCUUCAUCCCACACACCUUUCUCAGCCUCUGGUAACUAUCAUUCUACUUUACCUGCAUAAGAUCAAUUUUUUUUAAGUUUCCAAAUAUGAAUAAGAACAUGAAAUAUCUGUUUUCCUGUAUCUGGCUUAUUUUACUUAACAUAAUGACCUCCAGUUCCAUUUAUGUUCCUGCAAAUGACAGGAUUUCACCCUUUUUUAUGGAUGAAUAGUAUUCCAUUGUGUAUAUUCACCAUAUUUUCUUUAUCCAUUCUUUCAUUGAUGGACACAAGUUGAUUCCAUGUCUUUGCUAUUGUGAAUAGUGCUGCAGUAAACACGAGGAUGCAUGUAUUUCUUUGAUAUACUGAUUUUUUUCCCUUUGGAUAAACACCCAAUAGUGGGCUCCCUGGAUGAUAUGGUAGUUCUGUUUUUAGUUUUUUGAGAAAUCUCCAUACUGUUUUCCAUAAACACUGUUCUAAUUUAUGUUCUCACCAAUAGUGUAUAAGAGUUCUCUUUUCUCUGCAUCCUUGCCAGCAUCUGUUAUUUUCUGUCUUUUUGAUAAUAGUCAUUCUAACUGGGGUAAGAUGAUAUCUCAUUGUGGUUUUGAUUUGCAUUUCCUUGAUGAUUAGUGAUGUUGAACGUUUUUUCAUAUGCCUGUUGGCCGUUAGUAUAUCUUCUUUUGAGAAAUGUCUAUUCAGAUCCUUUGCCCACUUUUUAAUGAUAUUGUUUCUUGUUUUGCUCCUGAGUUUCUUGUAUAUUCUGGAUAUAGUUCCUUGUUAAAUGACUACUUUGCAAAUAUUUUCUCCCAUUCUGUAGGUUGUCUCUUCACUUUUUUUUCUGUGGAUAAGCUUUCAAGUUUAAUAUAGUCCCAUUUACCUAUUUUUGUUUUAAUUGCCUGUUCUUUUGGGAUCUUAGCCAUAAAGUCUUUGCCUAGAUCGAUCAACCUGAAGUGUUUCUCCUGUGUUUUCUUCUAGUGCUUUUGCAGUUCUAGGCCUUACAUUUCAGUCUUUAAUCCAUCGUGAGUUGAUUUUUGUAUAUGGUGAGAGAUAGGAGUACAAUCUCAUUCUUCUGAAUAUAGAUGUCCAAUUUCCCCAGCACCAUUUAUUGAAGAGGGUAUCCUUUUCCCAAUGUAGGUUCCUGGCAUCCUUGUUGAAAAUCAGGUGACUAUAAAUAUAUGAAUUUAUUUCUGGGUUCUCUGUUCUGUUCCAUUGGUCUAUGUAUGUAUUUUUAUACCAAUACCACACAGUUUUGGUUGCUAUAGCUUUGUAAUAUAUUUUAAAGCCAAGUAGUGUAAUGUCUCCAGCUUUGUUCUUUUUGCUUAGGAUUGCUUUGGCUGUUUGGGCUCUUUUUUGGUCCCAUAUGAAUUUUAGAUUUUUUUUUAUUUCUGUGAAAAAUAUCUUGGUAUUUUGAUAGGGAUUGCAUUGAAUGUAUAAAUUACUUUCAAUUACUAUUGUCAUUUUAACAAUAUUAAUUCUUCCAAUCCAUGAGCAUAAGAUGUCUUUCCAUUUGUUUGUGUCCUCUUCAAUUUCUUUGAUGAGUAUUUUGUAGCUUACCUUGUAGAGGUCUUUUACUUCCUUAAAUUUAUUUCUAGGUAUUUUAUUUUAUUUUUUGUAGCUAUUAUAAAUGGGAUUGCCUUAUUGAUACAAUUUCUUCUUUUGUGCUCCUCCAUCCCACCUCCCUCCUCCUUUCCUUCCCUUCCUCCCUUCCUGCCUUCCCCCUCCCUUCCUGUUUUUUUUUUGUUUUGUUUUUUGGUUUUCAAGAUACUUACCUUUAGCUUUCAAGUAUUUUUGAAAGAGGUCAAAGUAUAGUUAGAGUGAACACUCAGCAUUUAUUUUUAUUUUUAUUUUUUGAGACGGAGUCUCCCUCCGUUGCCUAGGCUGGAGUGCAGUGGUGUGAUCUCGGCUCACAACCUUUGCCUCCCAGGUUCAAGCCAUCCUCCUGCCUCAGCCUCCCAAGUAGCUGGGAUUACAGAUGCGCGCCACCUUCCCCGGUUAGUUUUUGUAUUUUUAGUAGAGAUGGGGUUUCAUCGUGUUGGCCAGGCUGGUCUCGAACUCCUGACCUCAGGUGAUCCACCUGACUUGGCCUCCCAAGUACUGGGAUUACAGGCCUGAGCCACCACGCCCGGCCAACACUAAGCAUCUUUUAAAAUUGUCUUAAAUUUUUUAUUAUGGACAUUUUCAAACAUAUAUUAAAGUAGAGAAUAAUAAAUGGCAUGAAUCCAGUUUCAGCAAUUGUCAACAUGUGAGUAAUCUUGUUUUGCCUAUACUUCUAUCUGUCCCCAUGCUCCCUCUCCCCACAAUGGCUUAUUAUGAAGCAAAUCUCAAACUUCAUAUUAUUUCAUCUGUAAAUGUUACUAUCUUUAUUAGUUGUUUUAAUUAAAAAUUACUGAACAUCUAUCUGCUCUGUCAGGUUAUAUGCUAUGUUCUGAUAAAUUCUUAAUCAUCUUUCAAAGCUCAGUUCAAGUGUCACCUCUUCCUGGAAGCUUUCCCUGGUUUUCCCCUCUCCCAAAAGAACUUAAUGACUCCUUUCCUGGCAUUCAGAUCAUAUGCCUCCUUCACAGCGCUCACUGUUUAAUAGCAAUUAUUUUAAAUGUGAGGAGAUAGUAUAAUAUAAUGCUUAAGAGUUUUGGAAACAAAUAGACUUGGGUUAAAAUUUCAGUUUCUGCUUUGGAAUCAAAUAAACUUGGGUUAAAAGUCUGCUUUCUGAGCUUAAUUCCUUUGAACCUCCGUGUUCUUAUCAGUAAAAUGGGGAUAUAGCACUCACCUUAUAUUGUGGGGAAUAAAUGGGUUAUGAAUCCAAAGUACCUUGCACAGUGCCUGGCACAUAGUGGGCAUUCCUUCAAGAAGUUACAUGCUUCUCUCGCCACACUGUGCUGGAGGCAGGACCACAGCUGUCUCCUGUGUGUGUGCUGGCACGUGGAAGCCUCUGCGGAAGAGUGUGGGAGGGGAAGCCUCCAAUUACAGAAAGCAGGCAGACUGGGCCCUAGCAGCCCUGCCUGGCCGUGGACAGAUUCUCUGGCAAAGUGGGCCUCUGGUUCAACUUUUGGGCUAUUUAAAGGCAUUAGUAAAAAUCCGAAAAAUGACUUGAUUUUGUCUUUUAAUGCACACUUAUUUUGUUUAGUUGGAAACUACAAAUUUGUCCCUCCCCUCAACUAAAUAAUCUUUAUUAUAGAAACUCUGGAAAGAACAGAAAGAGAAGAAAAAAUCACAGAAUCAGCCCAGAUCACCCAUUUAUGUAUUAUUUUAUUUCCUUCUUCUUUUUAAAAAAAUUUGUUUUCCAUCUAUGAAAUUAUAAUUGCAUUUUGUUUACUUUUUGGUCCAUCUCCAGCUUUUUAAAGUCAUCUUCAUUUUGAGGGUUGAAGUCUGACCUUUCAAACAAAAGCUCCAAGUGUGAAAGGGUCCGAGGGUUUGGAUGUGGCUUCUUGACUGAGCAAGGGGUGUCCAAUGUGUGGCUGGCAAAACAUGCCUGCAACACCUCUCACUGCCCACCUCCUUCUGGAAGCUCAAGGUUUCUAUUCACAUACCUCUGGGAAUGGGAAGCUCACCACCUUUCAGGGUCAUCUCUGUCAUCACUAGACAGCUUUCU